AGGGGCUUAAGUUAAUCUAGAAAACUAAUAGCCUUCAAAGCUUUAAUCGGGUAAUCCAGCCCCUA
rnacentral:tRNA from 1 species